rnacentral:sRNA from 1 species
UAAGGAUUUGUGAGAGAUCAAAAUAAACAAAUGACUAUAUAUGUCCAUGGCGUAGAAAAAUAAGCACAAGAAAGAUAAGAAAACUAAACGACAUAGGAUAAAAGAGGAAGAAAAGAGAGCUCGGAGGUGAAAAUAAUCAUACUUUUAUUUUUUUGUGACUUCU